rnacentral:rRNA from 1 species
UACGUAGGGCGCAAGCGUUGUCCGGAAUUAUUGGGCGUAAAGAGCUCGUAGGCGGCCUGUUGCGUCCGCUGUGAAAUCCCGGGGCUCAACCCCGGGCCUGCAGUGGAUACGGGCUGGCUAGAGGCAGGCAGGGGAGAACGGAAUUCCUGGUGUAGCGGUGAAAUGCGCAGAUAUCAGGAGGAACACCGUUGGCGAAGGCGGUUCUCUGGGCCUGUACUGACGCUGAGGAGCGAAAGCGUGGGGAGCAAACAGG